UAAUACAGUAUAGUCAUACCCAAGCUAUGGAAAAAUAUUUCCAAGUUUGUUACUUUUCUCAAGAAACUUCCUACUGUUAUAAAAUUUGUGCGCAAUAGUAGAGAUAAAAAUUAAUUUAGAACAGUAAUUGGAGUUAUUCAGAGGGACAAAUCGUCUAUUUAUUUGGUCUUUUAAAUGGGUUGCUCCCCAAAGAAAAGAAAAGAAAAGAAAGUAAUGCAAUUGCAAGUGAUGCAAUUCUUUAUUUUUAUGCUGCCAAUUGGUUUCGGGACAGCGGUGGGUAAUUCAGUGGGGAAAGUAAAGAGAUGGGUCCUGGAGAAGAAGAGCCUCACUGGUCUGUGUUUGAUGGGGUGAAGACAAUUCCAGCAUCAGCUGAUGCACUAAUUGCUGAGAUCGAUUCUGCCAUUUCUGCACUGGAGUAUGCCCGAGCUGCUGCUUUCUUAUCUUCUAUUGUUGGUAAAAGUGACGACGGAAAAUUAAGUUCUAAAUACGAUGCUAAAAAGGCAGAUGAAGCUUAUAGAGCAGGGAUGGCAGCCAUGGCUGCUAGCCAUUCAGUUCCUAAAUAUUGCUCUUGCUAAGUGCCCGCCUGAUAAGACUUCUGCUGUUGCUAAGCUUCAGUCUCUUAUUUCUGUCACAUCUCAACAGCUUCGAAACUCCUCCAACUGAUUCUUCUAUGUAAAAUAGCUCUGGGUGCUGAUGAAAGAGACAAAUAUCUGAAGGUUUUGAACAUCUCAAAACACUGGUGGUAGCAUCAUCAGCUGUGACAUGGGUGUUGAGCUUCCAAUGCCUUGGUCAAUGAAUAUAUGCAUCUUCAAGCUCUGGCCCACUUUUGUUGUUGGCGCUGCUGAAUAUUAUGUUUCUGUUCAUUAUAGCUCGCUUUGAGAUGAUUUCUUGAAGGCAUAUGUGAGAUAGAAGAUCAUACUUCAAUAGUUGCAUGGCAGAGGGAAACUAGUUUUGGUAGGAUCUGAAAAUUGUAAAAUGUCGUUCUUGAAACUAGUUGCUGCUACACCACUUCUGCUGUAAGUUGAUGUUCUAUCUGGUCUUUAAAGUUGUGUACAAAAACUUGAGUUGGAUGAUGUACAAGUAUGAAUGUAACGCUCGAUGCCCAUGGAUAAGACACGAUUGUUUAUCUGGUGGUUUUAGUUCUC